UCCUUGCUGGCGCAAUGGUAGCGCAUCAGACUUCUAAUCUGGGGGUUCCGGGUUCGAAACCCGGGUAAGGAA